CUUGCCAUUUACUUGGGUUCUGCUUUGUAACUAGCCAUUUUUGUUUUUAACAAGUAGGGCUUAAUGAACCGACUUUAAUCAGCUGCUAUGUUUAUGCUGGAAUAUUUUUUAAAGGUUUUGAAAAUCUACUGAUUCUCAAUACUUUUUAAUUUAAUUUUGGAAUUUGUUUCAAAUUAGUUUGAUAGGGAAGACUUGGAAAGACUUCUAAAAUAUCUGAGCAUUUCUCUUCUGUUGGGAAACUAGUUCUCAGCCACUUCAGAAGAUGGGCAUGUCAGCACCCAGCACGAAGGCAGGUAUGUGACUCCAAUAAAACCAAUCAGAACUCUUCCUUGUGUUAUAUACAGGGAGUGAGAGGCCUUCUAGUUCCUUUGGGAUUGCUACAGUAGGAUAAUGUAAGCUGGAAGCUGAAUAAAAACUGAUAAUGUAAACUUACAUUAUAUUAUUAAACUAUAGAGGCUUAAAAUAAAAUAAUUUUGUGUUUAAAAGGGAAAACAUUAAUUGUAUGAAAAUUUUCAGUUAUAAUUUCUCAGAGAGGCUGAAAAAUGAAGUACCAUUUUAAGGAUUUCUUUAAAAAAAUGACAUGGUAGUGAUAGUCAUGAUUCAGUAUUAGAUUUAUCUAAAACACAAAGGAGAAUAAUUUUUGACUGAUUA
rnacentral:lncRNA from 1 species